UUCAAUCAUCGAGCGAGCUGGCCAUACACAUGCAAUCGAACGGUAACAGGAAGCAGCUUGCUGCUUCGCUGACGAGUGGCGGACGGGUGAGUAAUGUCUGGGAAACUGCCUGAUGGAGGGGGAUAACUACUGGAAACGUGGACUAAUACCCGCAUAACGUCGCAGACCCAAAGAGGGGGACCCUUCGGACUCCUGACAUCAGAUGUGACCAGAUGGGAUNGACUGUUGGGGAGGUAACGNUCACCAGGACACAUCCAACUGUCGGAGAUACAGCAACGACGGACCGUCGAUCACGAGAGAGUGGAUUGCCAUGCCGCUAUCCGCCGCCGUUUUAGAGGCUCGGUUUUAGUACUUAGCCGGAGAAAGGUUUUUGGUUAAUAACCCAACCAAUGAACCUUAACCGCCCGAAGAAGCACCCCGG
rnacentral:rRNA from 1 species